CCUACGGGAGGCAGCAGUGAGGAAUAUUGGUCAAUGGGCGAGAGCCUGAACCAGCCAAGUCGCGUGAGGGAGUACUGCCCUAUGGGUUGUAAACCUCUUUUGUCGGGGAGCAAAAUCCGGACGUGUCCGGCUGUGAGGGUACCCGAAGAAAAAGCCUCGGCUAACUCCGUGCCAGCAGCCGCGGUAAUACGUGGGAUGCGAGCGUUAUCCGGCUUUAUUGGGUUUAACGGGUGCGCAGGCGGAUUUGUAAUGCAGCGGUAAAAUCGCGGGGCUCAACCCCGUCGAGCCGUUGAAACUGGGGUGCUGGAGUGUGGGAGAGGUAUGCGGAAUGCGUGGUGUAGCGGUGAAAUGCAUAGAUAUCACGCAGAACCCCGAUUGCGAAGGCAGCAUACCGGUGCACAACUGACGCUCAGGCACGAAAGCGUGGGUAUCGAACAGGAUUAGAUACCCGAGUAGUC
rnacentral:rRNA from 1 species